rfam:Picea glauca, whole genome shotgun sequence.
AUCUCUUUAGAGACAUCCGAUAAAAUUGAAACGAUACAAAGAAAAUUUGCAUGACUCCUGCGUAAGGAUGACACACACAAAUCAAGAAAUGAAUCAAACAUCA